ACAGGGAUUGCCCUAGUAACGGCGAGUGAAGCGGCAACAGCUCAAAUUUGAAAUCUGGCUUCGGCCCGAGUUGUAAUUUGCAGAGGAAGCUUUAGGCGCGGCACUUUCUGAGUCCCCUGGAACGGGGCGCCAUAGAGGGUGAGAGCCCCGUAUAGUUAGAUGCCUAGCCUGUGUAAAGCUCCUUCGACGAGUCGAGUAGUUUGGGAAUGCUGCUCAAAAUGGGAGGUAAAUUUCUUCUAAAGCUAAAUACCGGCCAGAGACCGAUAGCGCACAAGUAGAGUGAUCGAAAGAUGAAAAGCACUUUGAAAAGAGGGUUAAAUAGCACGUGAAAUUGUUGAAAGGGAAGCGCUUGUGACCAGACUUGCGCCGGGCAGAUCAUCCGGUGUUCUCACCGGUGCACUCUGCCCGGCUCAGGCCAGCAUCGGUUCUCGCGGGGGGAUAAAGGCCCUGGGAACGUAGCUCCUCCGGGAGUGUUAUAGCCCGGGGCGUAAUGCCCUCGCGGGGACCGAGGUUCGCGCAUCUGCAAGGAUGCUGGCGUAAUGGUCAUCAGCGACCCGUCUUGAAACACGGACCAAGGAGUCAAGGUUUUGCGCGAGUGUUUGGGUGUAAAACCCGCACGCGUAAUGAAAGUGAACGUAGGUGAGAGCUUCGGCGCAUCAUCGACCGAUCCUGAUGUUUUCGGAUGGAUUUGAGUAGGAGCGUUAAGCCUUGGACCCGAAAGAUGGUGAACUAUGCUUGGAUAGGGUGAAGCCAGAGGAAACUCUGGUGGAGGCUCGCAGCGGUUCUGACGUGCAAAUCGAUCGUCAAAUCUGAGCAUGGGGGCGAAAGACUAAUCGAACC
rnacentral:rRNA from 1 species